GUGAGUAACCACGUGGAUAACCUACCUAUAAGACUGGGAUAACUUCGGGAAACCGGAGCUAAUACCGGAUAAUAUUUUGAACCGCAUGGUUCAAAAGUGAAAGACGGUCUUGCUGUCACUUAUAGAUGGAUCCGCGCUGCAUUAGCUAGUUGGUAAGGUAACGGCUUACCAAGGCAACGAUGCAUAGCCGACCUGAGAGGGUGAUCGGCCACACUGGAACUGAGACACGGUCCAGACUCCUACGGGAGGCAGCAGUAGGGAAUCUUCCGCAAUGGGCGAAAGCCUGACGGAGCAACGCCGCGUGAGUGAUGAAGGUCUUCGGAUCGUAAAACUCUGUUAUUAGGGAAGAACAUAUGUGUAAGUAACUGUGCACAUCUUGACGGUACCUAAUCAGAAAGCCACGGCUAACUACGUGCCAGCAGCCGCGGUAAUACGUAGGUGGCAAGCGUUAUCCGGAAUUAUUGGGCGUAAAGCGCGCGUAGGCGGUUUUUUAAGUCUGAUGUGAAAGCCCACGGCUCAACCGUGGAGGGUCAUUGGAAACUGGAAAACUUGAGUGCAGAAGAGGAAAGUGGAAUUCCAUGUGUAGCGGUGAAAUGCGCAGAGAUAUGGAGGAACACCAGUGGCGAAGGCGACUUUCUGGUCUGUAACUGACGCUGAUGUGCGAAAGCGUGGGGAUCAAACAGGAUUAGAUACCCUGGUAGUCCACGCCGUAAACGAUGAGUGCUAAGUGUUAGGGGGUUUCCGCCCCUUAGUGCUGCAGCUAACGCAUUAAGCACUCCGCCUGGGGAGUACGACCGCAAGGUGAAACUCAAAGGAAUUGACGGA
rnacentral:rRNA from 1 species